AACGAACGCUGGCGGCAGGCUUAACACAUGCAAGUCGAACGCAUCCUUCGGGGUGAGUGGCAGACGGGUGAGUAACGCGUGGGAGCGUGCCCUUCAGUUCGGGAUAACCCAGGGAAACUUGGGCUAAUACCGGAUACGUGCGAGAGCAGAAAGAUUUAUCGCUGAAGGAUCGGCCCGCGUCUGAUUAGCUAGUUGGUGGGGUAAUGGCCCACCAAGGCGACGAUCAGUAGCUGGUCUGAGAGGAUGAUCAGCCACAUUGGGACUGAGACACGGCCCAAACUCCUACGGGAGGCAGCAGUGGGGAAUAUUGGACAAUGGGCGCAAGCCUGAUCCAGCCAUGCCGCGUGAGUGAUGAAGGCCUUAGGGUUGUAAAGCCCUUUCGUCCGGGACGAUAAUGACGGUACCGGAAGAAGAAGCCCCGGCUAACUUCGUGCCAGCCGCCGCAGUAAUAC
rnacentral:rRNA from 1 species